UGGCUCUGUUGACUAAUGAGUUUGCCGACCACUGGGAUAGGUUAACAUGGCCCUGAUCUGAAGGGGGAGGAUUUGUUUGUGUCCUCCUUCUGUACGAAAUGGCUAAGCAGAAAAAA
rnacentral:snoRNA from 1 species